GAUUUCCUUUUCUCUUGGGCUGACCAGCACGUGGUAUGGUGCUGGUUGUGGACGUCCCAUGUGGGUGUGGGAAUGGAUGCAUUGUGGGUGCCUUAUGUGGUUCUAAUUCUAUCUCAUGUAGGAGUCCUUCUUUCAUGAGUAUUGGACUGAUUUAAAAUAUAUUUGAAUUAGGAGUCCUAUGCUUAUUAGGUCAUGAGAAUUAUCUAUAAAUAGAAACGGUCUCUACCUAUGGAUGCAUAGGAAAUAAAUUAGAUUGAGAGAAGAGAGAAAGAGAGAGAGAGGAGUGAGAAGAGGGAGCUCCUUCCUUCCUUGGCGUCUCCCCAUCAUUACUGCCCAUUCUCUCCCUUACUGUGGGCCCACC
rnacentral:lncRNA from 1 species